GACGAACGCUGGCGGCGUGCCUAACACAUGCAAGUUGAGCGACGAACCAGUGCUUGCCCUGGGGCCAAGCAGCGCACGGGUGAGUAACACAUGUGUAUCCUACCCCCAUAACCUGGACAACACGUGGAAACUCGGGCUAAUACCGGGUGUGCUCACUGCUCUUCGGUGCAGUGCGUAGAGGAGGCUCCGGCCUCCGGAUCGGGCGCGGCCCGCGGCCCAUUAGUUGGUUGGUGGGGUAACGGCUCACCAAGACCGCGAUGGGUAGCUGGUCUGAGAGGACGAUCGGCCACCUGGGAACUGGGACACGGCCCAGACUCCUACGAGAGGCAGCAGUGGGGUAUCUUGCGCAAUGGGCGAAAGCGUGACGCAGCAACGCCGCGUGGGGGAAGAAGGCCUUCGGGUUGUAAACCCCUUUCAGGAGGGACGAAGGUCCGGCGGUGAAUAGCCGUCCGGACUGACGGUACCUCCACAAGAAGCCCCGGCUAACUACGUG
rnacentral:rRNA from 1 species